rnacentral:rRNA from 1 species
UACGUAGGGGGCUAGCGUUGUCCGGAAUCAUUGGGCGUAAAGAGCGUGUAGGCGGUCCGGUAAGUCCGUUGUGAAAGUCAAGGGCUCAACCCUUGAAUGCCGGCGGAUACUGUCGGGCUAGAGUCCGGAAGAGGCGAGUGGAAUUCCUGGUGUAGCGGUGAAAUGCGCAGAUAUCAGGAGGAACACCAAUUGCGAAGGCAGCUCGCUGGGACGUAACUGACGCUGAGACGCGAAAGCGUGGGGAGCAAACAGG